GCGCUCGCUUCGGCAGCACAUAUACUGAAAUUGGAAUGAUACAGAGAAGAUUAGAAUGGCCCUGUGCAAGGAUGACACGCAAAUGCUUGAAGCAUUCCAUAUUGAA
rnacentral:snRNA from 1 species